CGGGCUGCUCCAAAUGCUUUCUGAGCUUCGCUAUCAACCAAUUUUCUACAGUAACCAGACUUCGUCCAAGCUUUUAUGACAGUCGACUACCUUCCGAAUUUCAUCCGAGCUUCUACAAGAGCUGGACUCUGUCUGAACUUCUACAGUGGAUGGAUCCCAGACGAACAUCUACGACAGACAGGCUCCACCAGUCGGAUCUCUACUCCAAACUUCUUUUGGACUUCAUCA
rnacentral:lncRNA from 1 species